UACGUAGGAGGCUAGCGUUGUCCGGAAUUACUGGGCGUAAAGAGCUCGUAGGUGGUUUGUCGCGUUGUCCGUGAAAACUCACAGCUUAACUGUGGGCGUGCGGGCGAUACGGGCAGACUGGAGUACUGCAGGGGAGACUGGAAUUCCUGGUGUAGCGGUGGAAUGCGCAGAUAUCAGGAGGAACACCGGUGGCGAAGGCGGGUCUCUGGGCAGUAACUGACGCUGAGGAGCGAAAGCGUGGGGAGCGAACAGG
rnacentral:rRNA from 1 species